AGUUUUUGACAAUGGGGGAAAGACUGAUCCAGCCAUCUCGCGUGUGUGAGGAAGGCCUUCGGUUUGUUAAGUACUUUUUUUGGAGAGGAAAAAGUAUGUCCUAGUACGAGAUACUGCUGACGGUAUCUGCAGAAUAAGCGCCGGCUAACUAGCUGCCAGCAGCCGCGGUAAUACGUAGGGUGCAAGCGUUAAUCGGAAUUAGUGGGCGUAAAGCGUGUGUAGGCGGUUCGGAAAGAAAGAUGUGAAAACCCAGGGCUCAACCUUGGAACUGCAUUUUUAACUGCCGGGCUAGAAUAUGUCAGAGGGGGGUAGAAUUCCACGUGUAGCAGUGAAAUGCGUAGAUAUGAGGAGGAAUACCGAUGGCGAAGGCAGCCCCCUGGGAUAAUACUGACGCUCAGACACGAAAGCGUGGGGAGCAAACA
rnacentral:rRNA from 1 species